UACAUUUUUGGUUUGAGGUAUUUUAUAUUUUAUUUUUUAUUCUUCUUUAAUAAAGUUUUAUUCUUGCUUUAUGUUAGUUUUUUUGUAUGUUUUAAUAUACAUAUUUAUUUAUUAAAUAUUUAUUUAUGUAGUAUUUAUAUUUGAAUAUUAAGUUAUUUUUGAUUCAGUAAUUCAUUUAGAGAAGGUAAAUGUCGUGCCAGCAGCCGCGGUUAUACGUUGAUUCUCAAGAUUAACUUUUUUGGUGGUAGUUAUUAUUUUUUGUAUUUUUUUAUUUUAAUAUUUGGUGAAAUAUUAUUAAUUUAUUUUAUACUUGAUAUUUUUUUUCUGUUUAAGCUAUUUUUUAAACUAGGAUUAGAUACCCUAUUAUUUUAGAUUAAUAUUUUUGUCAGGGUAGUAUUUUGUUAAUUGAAACUUAAAGAAUUUGGCGGCUUUUUAUUUUUUUUUAGAGGAACCUGUUUCAUGAAUGAUGUUACACGAUUUGCACAGCUUAUUUUAUAUUGUUUGUAUAUUUCCGUUAUCAGAAUAUUUAUAGAUAAUAUUUUCAUUUUUUUUUAUUAAAGUUUAUUUCAGGUCAAGGUGCAGCUUAUGAAUAAGUGGUUAAUGGGUUACAAUAAUUUAAUUUAUAUGGAUAUUUUUUUUAAAUAUUAAAUUGAAGGUGGAUUUAUUAGUAAGUUUUAAUAUUUAUUAAAUCUGAAUUAGUACUAAAUUGUGUACAUAUCGCCCGUCGCUCUCAUUUAUUUGAGAUAAGUCGUAACAAAGUAGAUUUACUGGAAAGUGAAUCUGGAUU
rnacentral:ncRNA from 1 species